CUUAUAGCAAAGAAGAGGAAUAGUAGAUUCCUAUGCUUUUUACAGAGAAGGAUGUAAGAUGAGAAUUCCUAAAAGCUAAGUUUUGAACCAGCCUCAGAGUUCUGUACUGAAAUUAAGUAGGAUACAGCGGAAAAAUUCCGUUAUCAAUAAAAGUGAACAUGUUUUAUAUAUGUUAACAAGGGUGGUACCGCCGACACAACUUCGGUCCCUGUA
rfam:Clostridium sp. IEH 97212 scaffold_4, whole genome shotgun sequence.